CACCUGCCGAACAACUUGUGUUACGCUUGGCAGGUGGCAUUUGUUAGUAGCUGGGCGUGUUGGCAAAAUCCAGCGAAGAAAUUACAUUAUUUCAACCUCUAAAUUAUGUGAAAACCAAUAUCCACGCGAGUAAAUCAACGGAAACUGUACAGCGAAACACGAUGAAUUUGCCAAGGUAAACACUGCCGUGGACUGCUUUCAUACGAUCAUCUUCUCACGUGCACAUAACCCGUGAGAUGUUCGUUCGGUGAUCUACAACAGACGUGGAUUACAGUAAAUGCACAAGAAACAGAAUCUGAGAGCGAGAGGGAGAGAGAGAGAGAGGAGAGAAGAGACAGAGC
rnacentral:lncRNA from 1 species